ensembl:snRNA U1 U1 spliceosomal RNA
AUACUUACCUGCCAGGGGACAUACCAGGAUCACGAAGGUGGUUUUUCCACGGUGAGGCUCAUCCAUUGUGCUCUGGGUGUGCCAACCCCUACGAUUUCCCCAAACGCAGGAAACUCGACUGCAUAAUUUGUGUGUGUGUGGGGAAGGGACUGCGUUUGCAUGCUCCCCCAAA